UGUAGACUGAUCUAUGGACUGUAAUCCGUCAAUUGAAGCUGGGAGGUGUCUAUUGUUGAAGUUGAAAGAAUGGCAAAGUCCUGAGUCACAGAAGGGACCUACGGACCGUAGAUCAAUCCACAGU